CACAUGAUCUCACGUUAUUGGUUACAUGCAUCCUAAACAACACAGGUGUAGACUAACAGUGAAAUGCAUCCUAAACAACACAGGUGUAGACUAACAGUGAAAUGCAUCCUAAACAACACAGGUGUAGACUAACAGUGAAAUGCAUCCUAAACAACACAGGUGUAGACUAACAGUGAAAUGCAUCCUAAACAAAAACAGGUGUAGACUAACAGUGAAAUGCGUCCUAAACAAAAACAGGUGUAGACUAACAGUGAAAUGCGUCCUAAACAAAACAGGUGUAGACUAACAGUGAAAUGCGUCCUAAACAAAACAGGUGUAGACUAACAGUGAAAUGCGUCCUAAACAAAACAGGUGUAGACUAACAGUGAAAAGCUGAUUUACGGGCCCUUUCCAUCAAUGCAGAGAGAGAAAAAAGAUAAAGAAUGAGGAACUAAUACCCAAUGAGUGCAUCAAGUGUGGAAAAUGCAGGCUAGACAUCAGGCAAAAACAACAUAUGGCAAAAGGCAUGUGCAUCUGAUGGACAAGGCACUGCAUGGUCAAUCUGACGUCUGCAUUGGCCAUUGAGCAUUUACAAUCAUACGGCCUCUGUAGAAAUCAGGCCAUUCAUACUUCUGGUCCUUCACGGAGCAGCACAGAGCUGUUGUCAAGGAAGUGAGUCUGUGUUUAUACAGGACC